AUUGAACGCUAGCGGGAUGCUUUACACAUGCAAGUCGAACGGCAGCGCGGACUUCGGUCUGGCGGCGAGUGGCGAACGGGUGAGUAAUGUAUCGGAACGUGCCCAGUAGCGGGGGAUAACUACGCGAAAGCGUAGCUAAUACCGCAUACGCCCUACGGGGGAAAGCAGGGGAUCGUAAGACCUUGCACUAUUGGAGCGGCCGUUAUCGGAUUAGCUAGUUGGUGAGGUAACGGCUCACCAAGGCGACGAUCCGUAGCUGGUUUGAGAGGACGACCAGCCACACAGGGACUGAGACACGGCCCAGACUCCGACGGGAGGCAGCAGUGGGGAAUUUUGGACAAAGGGGGCAUCCCUGUUCCAGCCAACCCGCGUGUGCGAUGAAGGCCUUCGGGUUGUAAAGCACUUUUGGCAGGAAAGAAACGUCGCGGGCUAAUACCCCGUGGAACUGACGGUACCUGCAGAAUAAGCACCGGCUAACUACGA
rnacentral:rRNA from 1 species